rnacentral:tRNA from 1 species
GUGGCUGUGGCUCAGUGGUAGAGCACUUGACUAGCACAGGUGAGGCCCUGGGUUCGAUCCUCAGCAUCACA